rnacentral:rRNA from 1 species
GACGAACGCUGGCGGCGUGCCUAAUACAUGCAAGUCGAGCGGACAGAUGGGAGCUUGCUCCCUGAAGUCAGCGGCGGACGGGUGAGUAACACGUGGGCAACCUGCCUGUAAGACUGGGAUAACUUCGGGAAACCGGAGCUAAUACCGGAUACGUUCUUUUCUCGCAUGAGAGAAGAUGGAAAGAUGGUUUCGGCUAUCACUUACAGAUGGGCCCGCGGCGCAUUGGCUAGUUGGUGAGGUAAUGGCUCACCAAGGCGACGAUGCGUAGCCGACCUGAGAGGGUGAUCGGCCACACUGGGACUGAGACACGGCCCAGACUCCUACGGGAGGCAGCAGUAGGGAAUCUUCCGCAAUGGACGAAAGUCUGACGGAGCAACGCCGCGUGAACGAUGAAGGCCUUCGGGUCGUAAAGUUCUGUUGUUAGGGAAGAACAAGUACCAGAGUAACUGCUGGUACCUUGACGGUACCUAACCAGAAAGCCACGGCUAACUACGUGCCAGCCGCCGCGGUAAUAC